GACAGUCAUUGUGGCGACACCCAGUGGUCUCAGCUCACUGAGUUCCGUCCAGUGAAAGCAGUUCUGUAUCUGCUGGCCCUCCUCAUGCUGCCCAUUGAGCUGACCUUCUCACUCACCAAAAGCAUAUUACCACUGUUGACAUCGACUGCAGAUCUCUGCAAGCAGACAUGGAACAGCAGAGCCUAGGACCCCAGCAGCGCAUUGUCAGAGCAGCAUUGCGGCAGAAAGCCCUCUAACUCAGCCCUCAGAAUGGAGUAGACCAAAACAUUAAACCCUUGACCUCAACGCUUAGCCCAAAUCCUGCCAAACUCUUCAGUAGGAUAACAGCGGUAACCUGGACCUCUUCUAACGCACAUCUACCUGUACAGGCCCUUCCAACUUUCCCACCCCCAAUACACCUGCUUGGUGAGGUGACUUUAAACCACAGAUGUAAACGGACACUUCAUCACCCAUCAACCAGGCAGGAAAAAGACUGUUUAUCAUUGCAGAUG